GGGUCACAAAAAGGAAUAAACGUAAAGCCGACGACGCAGUCACUAGGGAAAGGGGGAAGACACGGGAACCACGCAGCCCGGCGUCCACAGGCACGGGGCAACCACGGGGCCCUAGCCCAACGACGGGGGCACGCAGUGGGCAGCCCGGGCCGAGCCACGCCUCCGCGCCAGGCACCGCAGUAGAGCGGACAGGGACGCCACUCGGCGCAGGCGCGAGCCCGGUACCGCAGGUCGCCGGGGCAGGAAGGACGGAGCCUGAGGACGGCGAACAGGGCACUCAGAGCGGUCCAAGGCGCCGGAGCCCUGGCGAGGCCUAAGCCUUCUGCCAUGCCCCGGCCCCCACGAGGCCCAAGCCCCGGCCUGGUCCACCUCGGAGGCCUCUAGGACCCGGGGGCGCCCGGCGGCCCGCCCGGCUCCCACAAAUAGACUCCUGGGUGGGUGCCUGAGCCCCAAAAAUAGAUCCUCAGGGCGGGCGCCUGAGCCCCAAGCAGACUCUUCGGCAGGCGCCAUGGGGCCGGGAGACGCGGGACGCCGCGUGACCGCCUCGCCAGUGCCGCCGCCGUUCGUGCGAGUCGCGCCCUCGCUCUUCCUCGGGAGCGCGCGCGCCGCGGGCGCGGAGGAGCAGCUGGCGCGCGCGGGGGUCACGCUGUGCGUCAACGUCUCCCGCCAGCAGCCCGGCCCGCGCGCGCUCGGCGUGGCAGAGUUGCGCGUGCCCGUGUUCGACGACCCAGCAGAGGACCUGCUGGCGCACCUGGAGCCCACGUGCGCCGCCAUGGAGGCCGCGGUGCGCGGCGGCGGCGCCUGCCUCGUCUACUGCAAAAACGGCCGCAGCCGCUCGGCCGCCGUCUGCACCGCCUACCUUAUGCGGCACCGAGGCCUCAGCCUGGCGCAGGCUUUCCAGAUGGUGAAGAGCGCUCGCCCGGUAGCGGAACCCAACCCGGGCUUCUGGUCUCAGCUCCAGAAGUAUGAGGAGGCCCUCCAGGCACAGUCCUGCCUGCAGGAAGAGCCCCCAGCUUUAGGGUUGGGCCCUGAGGCUUGAGGCUUGAAGCUUGAAUCUUGAAGGCCUACUGCCUGGAGGAAGGAUGUUCCUGCACUGAUACUGGAGGCUGGUCUUUACCCUCCUUCCUCACUGUCACAUCGAGUUUUCCUUUCUGUGUGUGUGUGAAACACAGUGCUUUUAAUUUUAUAUUUCUGGCUGAGCUGAUGAACAAAUUAUCUUACAGACACAAAAAGAAAUACAUUUGGUAAAACACUGAAGACAAAUUAAGAAAAAGCAAAUAGGGGUCCUCCAUUAUUUAUACCCCAGAAUCUUGAGUGUUUGGGAGUGCCAGCGCGGUCUACCACUCUCACUGAAGGACAUGAGUACAGACUACAGUCAUCAGAAUCUGAGUCAUAGGUGAAAUCAGGAAAAACAACUCUUCUUGCGUUUAUUUUUAGUAGUGUCCUAAGAAUGGACUAGUUCUUCCUGCGUGACCACAGGUGCUUCUGUUUGAGAAAAUGCAUACCCACGUGGGACAUUUAGAGCUAGAGAGCCAAGUUGACGAAGACAUUGUUGAAGGGCAACUUGGGGGAUUGGGGAAAUAUUCUCUUCACCAGCCCCUCUGCAAUAGAGCUGGAGUCGUCCUAUAAGAAUUCGGACAAUUACGGACAUCCCUUUUCUUUCUUUCUUUUUUUUUUUGUUUGAGACGGAGUCUCUGUUGCCCAGGCUGGAGUGCAGUGGCGCAAUCCCGGCUCACUGCAACCUCCGCCUCCCGGGUUCAAGCGAUUCUCCUGCCUCAGCCUCCCGAGUAGCUGGGACUACAGGCACGUGCCACCACACCCGGCUAAUUUUUUGUAUUUUUAGUAGAGACGGGGUUUCACCGUUUUAGCCGGGAUGGUCUCAAUCUCCUGACCUCGUGAUCCACCCACCUCGGCCUCCCAGAGUGCUUGGAUUACAGGCGUGAGCCACCGUGCCUGGCCUCCUUUUUCUAUUACUAGAGAACUCCAGGACAUUAAGAAUUUCAAAAGUGAAUUUUUCUCCCAUAGCUUCUAUGGUGACAGACUAUGGUGUUCCUGUAGUGAAAACAAAGCCAAGUUUUUUUGCUCCUUUCACUAAAGCUGCUUCAUCUGGGGAGGAAGCCUGGUAGAUUACAUAGUUCCAUCUCUCUCAGGGGUAACAGUGUGGCACGCAGAUAACAGGGUAACAAAUUGUUCUAUAUAGUUUUCUGUGGGAUGGCCAUUCUCAAUGUUCUCAAAUAAAUUGUGGUCAUUAAAAUCUCAGGGCUUGGAUGGAAGAAGGUGUUGCACCAUAAAUUACACCUGCAGUGGUACAAUUCUUAAAUCUCUUAAUAUUGCAAGUGAGCGUUCCCAUUUUAUCAGAAAAUAAAUAUUUUACCUGCUCAAGUUCUUCACUGAGAUUGAAUGUGCUGACCACAGUGUGGACACUAUUUAGUUUAUAAUGCACAUCUUGAUUCUGGUUUAUAAACUGGGCCUGAAUAUAUUUCACAAUUUCCAUAGUGACCAGCAGACUAAUGGGGAUAAGGUUCUGUUAUACAAUGAUGAAUACCAGUAUGUCAAACACAAUGCCGUGGAAUUUGCUGCAAUAAAGUAAUAAACAAGAAAGCAUUGGCAGCUUUGGUAAACUGCAGACCAAAUGUCACCAUACUUUUUAUUCCAUAGCACGGCUCCCACACAGCUCACCAUGGACAUGACCAGAGCAGCAGGAACCAAAGGGAGACCCACACAUUGUCACUUUCUGAUCUCGAGAUUAGAUGUUGCUAUAUAAACUCAUCGACUGAGGCUCACUGGAACACAUGAAGACUGUGUCUGCAGGAAGGAGCUCCCCGUUCGCCUUCACAGUGUCACCACAUUCACCUCUUUCCACUUAAUCGUGUGCUGUGAAUCCUGUCAUAACAGUCUUGUGUUCCUUAAUUAUUUUGUCUGCAUGUCAUUUAUAAUGUAUAACCUCUUUAAUGCCUGAAAUCAUCAUUAUCAUCAUCAUCACAGGCAAGAGGGUUGUAUAUUUCCCGUUGGAGACACAUCUGGAAUUUGCUGCAAUAAAGUAAUAA